rnacentral:lncRNA from 1 species
CCGGCUGCUCGCACACGCAGGAAACGUCACUAGGGUAAUUUAAAGAGGAGAGAAGGAUCAUCAAUCAUUGCCUAGUGGAUUAUUGGCGAAUCGUCCUUAAGAGCAACUCCAACGGGUCGACCUAAACGGACAACGAUUUCGUUCACUUUUUAUCCGUUUGGGUCGACCAGGCGGGCACGAACGUUCGCUUCCGUAAAUAGGUCGGUUCGUGC